rnacentral:rRNA from 11 species
UCCUUCAGGCCUAAUUACCUUAAAGGUAUCAGAUUCUGCAUGAGUUUGGAAGCUAAGCAAUGUCAGCCCUGUUUAAUAGUUGGAUGGGAGACCAACAAUGAAUACCAGGUGCUGCAGGCU